AUUGAACGCUGGCGGCAGGCCUAACACAUGCAAGUCGAGCGGAUGAAGGGAGCUUGCUCCUGGAUUCAGCGGCGGACGGGUGAGUAAUGCCUAGGAAUCUGCCUGGUAGUGGGGGAUAACGUCCGGAAACGGGCGCUAAUACCGCAUACGUCCUGAGGGAGAAAGUGGGGGAUCUUCGGACCUCACGCUAUCAGAUGAGCCUAGGUCGGAUUAGCUAGUUGGUGGGGUAAAGGCCUACCAAGGCGACGAUCGUAACUGGUCUGAGAGGAUGAUCAGUCACACUGGAACUGAGACACGGUCCAGACUCCUACGGGAGGCAGCAGUGGGGAAUAUUGGACAAUGGGCGAAAGCCUGAUCCAGCCAUGCCGCGUGUGUGAAGAAGGUCUUCGGAUUGUAAAGCACUUUAAGUUGGGAGGAAGGGCAGUAAGUUAAUACCUUGCUGUUUUGACGUUACCAACAGAAUAAGCACCGGCUAACUUCGUG
rnacentral:rRNA from 1 species